rnacentral:rRNA from 1 species
CCUGGAAACAGAUGCUAAUACCGGAUAACAACACUAGACGCAUGUCUAGAGUUUAAAAGAUGGUUCUGCUAUCACUCUUGGAUGGACCUGCGGUGCAUUAGCUAGUUGGUAAGGUAACGGCUUACCAAGGCAAUGAUGCAUAGCCGAGUUGAGAGACUGAUCGGCCACAUUGGGACUGAGACACGGUCCAAACUCCUACGGGAGGCAGCAGUA